AAGCCAGUCCACCGGAAUUUAAACAUGAUGCAACGUGGAAGGUGUUAACCUAGUGCAAACCAAAGCUAGGGAUGUGACAGCUUCGAAGGGGGGAAGUGGGCAGUUUGAGAGAGAGAAAGUAGUGUUGUUUUUUAUUAGUUUGUAUACAUGAAAUGUAGACAAUUUAGAGUUACACAUCCAACUUUGGCAUUUAGUUUCAAAUAUAAAGUGAAUUUAAUUUGUUAGUAUAUCAUGCAUUGAUAAAACACGUGCACAUGGACUAUGCAUACGUGAGCAAUCUUGCAGUGGUUGUGUAAACAUACACACGACUACGACCCUACAAGUCAGCAACGUGCAACAAAAGUGCACGCACGCAGAUAGAGUGGUCCCACGAGCCUAAAACUAGUAGCGUUGUUCUCUAAAAUGGCGCGCUGCCUGUGGAACGAACAUUAGCGCCGUUCAUGACAAGCACACGCUACGAAAUUAUGGGUCCCACACUUGUGUCAACGGGCGGGGCCUGCGAGCUAACCGAGCCGCGUAUGGCUUUAGGUGCACGCUACUAGAUGCUACUAAAUGUAGCAACGCUUCUUCCACGCCCCCAAUUUGGUCUGGCCAGAGGGCUACCUGGUUCCGACAAACUAGCAGCGUCGGCAUCGUCUGCAUGCUGCAAAGCGCAUUGUCACCAGCAGCGUUCAGUAUUUAGCUGGAUGGUGGAGGCAUCUGGGCUAAGUAGUUGCGGCGUAUUGUUUUGUCUGGACGCUGGUAGUAGUAAAAUCCUAUAAGGGGUUUCCUCACUAGUGUACGACGGUGGCUGGUGCCUCGAGGGCGGCGGUCGGUACAUCUACGACGCGCUUGACCAGGAGCAUUGCAACGGCGACGCCGGUGGCCCUAACAUUGGUCCGAUUCUCGUCGGCGCCGAACGGUCUCUCCUACCGGCUAGGCUUCAUACCACAUCCACCGACGGGAUAUGUUUAUCCACAUGCUCCACCUCCGCAGCUGUCGUGAAGCUGUCGGCGAACAAGACUGGUGACUACUGGAUGUGGGUGGAGAGGAAUCGAGACCAGAUCGUGCUCGGUGGAGUGGGACUACUUCUACCGUAAGCACAAGAUCAUCCCCGGCGACCUCCUCGUGUUCAAGCUCUCCAACCUCGAGUCCACAAUGUAGAUCUACGACGACAAGACCACCAUUGCCAGAUACAGAUGCAAGAAGUUCGUCUACCAAGCCCCCUUUAUCAUCGGCCACUAAAUUCCUGUUGUGCGUCUAGUUGUGUAAACAUGUUAGCUAUUAAAUUGUCGAUCGUUGGUGUUUAAACUUGUAUAUUUUGAUCAGGAACAACACCCCGAGUUUGUGCAGGGGCAUGGGAUGCCCUUGUUGGCUUUAAAACUCCUCCUAUUAAGUUAACAUCGUGAUUAGUGAUGUUAGUACUGA